ACCCUAACAACACACAACAUUCCAGGAAUGUACUACCAAAGUUCUAUCAAUAUUUGAAUGUCCUGGACAUUUAGGGAACAUUCGGUGAACAUCUGUUUAAAUUAUUCCUGGAAUGUUACCAUAAGACAUUCUGUGAACAUACUACCAAUGUUCCUAUAUUUUAAGUUGCGAAAUAAUACAUACGUGUAAGAGAUACAACAUUACUUAUAACAUACCAGACAAACUAAGUGACAUUUUAGGCCUACAGUGCAAUAAUAUGUCAAAUUUAAAGAGUUUCCCAAGAUUAUAAACAUACAAAUGUAAUAAAAAUUAUUGUUCGCGAAUAUUCAAUUUGGAAUGCGAUUUUGUUAAUAAAAAAAAUACUUAUAACUUAUGCAAAACCCAAGAGAGGCAUUUAUAUUUAUUUCUUUUGCGUUCAUUUUCAAAUUCGCCGUGCAUAUAUUUUUGUGCAUGGCGCUUGAGAGGGCAUCACGUGACUAAAAACGACCAACCAACGACCUCGCUUCGGCCAUCUUGGCAUCUUCAUCUUGGCGACCUUGCCUUGCCGUGGAUUGUUUUUAGUUGUUUGUAUUAUUUGUGCUUUUUAAGAAUAUUUUUUUAAUUCGGAUACUUUUAUAAUAGCUUUAAUAGUAUUAUUAACAUAGUGCAUAAAAUGGUGUCCUGUUUUUAACGCAGUUGGAGUAGCAGAAACAAAUGUAGAUAAAAAAAUCUGCAGGAAUAACGUUUCAAUUAUGACAGAAGCUCAAAACAAAUGACUGUGAAUGAAAAGCCCUAUUAAAAGCUUUCCAGAAGAUCCUGCGAAGAAGACAUGAAGUAUAGAUCAGAUUUGUUAAUAGAGGAGUAUGUUCAAAACACUUUUUAGAAAAAGAUAUUGACAGAACUUCACUUUCAUCUGUUCGUUUGAGAGACUGUGCUGUUCCAAUAGCUUAUGUCACACAGAAUCAGCUGAGAGAAGUGGUCUACAAAAAACCAGAAAGGAAACGGAAUAUGUGGCUACGAAAAGCAAAAGAAAGGUUUACAAAGCAAAUGUGACACAUUUUUUUAUAAUAUUUAGGAAUGUCAGCAAAUUACAUUAAAAAAUGUAUGUAAAGAUUUUUUGCAAUAAAAAUGUUUAUAUUUAUCAAGGAUGUAUUAUUUGGUAUGGCCAUAUAUCGUCAGUGAUGUGACAGUACCUCCUAUCUGUUUUUUUCAAGAGAUUUGUAAGAUAGACUAAAAACUUGUUUCGGCCACCUCCUGUUUUCAUAUAUUUUUUGACUUGUUUUGCAGUAAAUUCAACUAUCUAUUUACUACA